UUUUCUUUCAUUGUAUUUGAUGCAUAACUUUUUCUCCCCAAGACCAAUUUCAUUCUCUUUCUCUUCCAUUUUAUCAAAUUAAACCUAGACCUUAAUUCUUUAGGUUGGUUGGUGAAAUUAUGGAUUGAUAAGGCUGGUUCAGGGAUGGGCGAGUCUGAUUUUUGAAAAUCUGUUUUUAGGGGUACGAGUAGGGCAGUGCAGUGGCGAUGGUGGUGGCACUGCAGCGACAGCCACAAUGCAGAGCGGUGGGUGGUGGAGUUUUCUAUGUGGAUGUCUAACAGAUGAUAGAAAAGAAAAGGUGGAUGGAAAGGAUUGUGUUUUAAGAGUUGCAUAUGCUGACCAUUCUAUGCCAAUAACAUACGAAGCACCACACUAAAUUUGGAAUUUUAUAUAGUGUAUAAAAAUUAUAUAUACACAUUUAUAUAUUGUAUAAUUUUUGUAUAUAAAGUGUAUCGUACA